GUGAUGACGAGCGGCGGACGGGUGAGUAAUGUAUAGGAAGCUGCCCGAUAGAGGGGGAUAACCACUGGAAACGGUGGCUAAUACCGCAUAAUGUCUACGGACCAAAGUAUGGGACCUUCGGGCCAUAUGCUAUCGGAUGCGCCUAUAUGGGAUUAGCUAGUUGGUGUGGUAAUGGCGCACCAAGGCGACGAUCCCUAGCUGGUUUGAGAGGAUGAUCAGCCACACUGGGACUGAGACACGGCCCAGACUCC
rnacentral:rRNA from 1 species